rnacentral:rRNA from 1 species
GAUGAACGCUGGCGGCGUGCCUAAUACAUGCAAGUCGAGCGAACGGACAAGAAGCUUGCUUCUCUGAUGUUAGCGGCGGACGGGUGAGUAACACGUGCAUAACCUACCUAUAAGACUUGGAUAAAUUCGGGAAACCAUAGCUACUACCGGUUAAUAUUUUGUACCGCAUGGUUCAUACGUGAAAGACGGUCUUGCUGUCACUUAUUGAUUGAUCCGGGCUGCAUUAGCUAGUUGGUAAGGUAACGGCUUACCAAGGCAACGAUGCAUAGCCGACCUGAGAGGGUGAUAUGCCAAACUGGAACAGAGACACGGUACAGACUCCGACGGGAGGCAGCAGUGGGGAAGAGUCCGCUAAGGGCGAAAUGCUGACUGAGCAACGCAGCGUUGGUUAUGAAGGUCUUCGUGUCUUAGAACCCUUUUAUUAGGGAAGAACAGAUGUAUAGGUAAAAGGCUACAUUUUGACGGUACCUAAUGAGAAAGCCACGGCUAACUACGUG